rnacentral:rRNA from 1 species
CCUACGGGUGACAGCAGUGAGGAAUAUUGGUCAAUGGGCGUAAGCCUGAACCAGCCAAGUCGCGUGAGGGAUGAAGGUUCUAUGGAUCGUAAACCUCUUUUAUAAGGGAAUAAAGUGUGGGACGUGUCCUGUUUUGUAUGUACCUUAUGAAUAAGGAUCGGCUAACUCCGGGCCAGCAGCCGCGGUAAUACGGAGGAUCCGAGCGUUAUCCGGAUUUAUUGGGUUUAAAGGGUGCGUAGGCGGCCUUGUAAGUCAGCGGUGAAAGUCUGUGGCUCAACCCUAGAAUUGCCGUUGAAACUGGGAGGCUUGAGUGUGUUUGAGGCAGGCGGAAUGCGUGGUGUAGCGGUGAAAUGCUUAGAUAUCACGCAGAACCCCGAUUGCGAAGGCAGCCUGCCAAGCCAUGACUGACGCUGAUGCACGAAAGCGUGGGGAUCAAACAGGAUUAGAUACCCGAGUAGUC